rnacentral:rRNA from 1 species
CCAGCAGCUGCGGUAAUUCCGGCUCCAAUAGCAUAUAUUAAAGUUGUUGCAGUUAAAAAGCUCGUAGUUGGAUUUCUGGAGGGGUGCCGAAGUCCGCUCGAUAGCGUGUGCUGAGGCGCCCUUCCAUCCUUCUGUUAACGUCUCUGGUAUUCAGUUACUGGUUUCGGGCUCAGAUAUUUUACCUUGAGAAAAUUAGAGUGUUCCAGGCAGGCUUGCGCCGGAAUACAUUAGCAUGGAAUAAUAGAAUAGGACUUUUGUCUCCUUUGUUGGUUUGAGGGACUGAAGUAGUGAUUAAUAGGGAUAGUUGGGGGCAUUAGUAUUUAAUUGUCAGAGGUGAAAUUCUCAGAUUUGUUAAAGACUAACUUAUGCGAAAGCAUUUGCCAAGGAUGUUUUCAUUAAUCAAGAACGAAAGU